AACGAACGCUGGCGGCAUGCCUAACACAUGCAAGUCGAACGAGACCUUCGGGUCUAGUGGCGCACGGGUGCGUAACGCGUGGGAACCUGCCCUUAGGUUCGGAAUAACUCCCCGAAAGGGGUGCUAAUACCGGAUAAUGUCUUCGGACCAAAGAUUUAUCGCCUUUGGAUGGGCCCGCGUUGGAUUAGCUAGUUGGUAGGGUCAACGCCUACCAAGGCGACGAUCCAUAGCUGGUCUGAGAGGAUGAUCAGCCACACUGGGACUGAGACACGGCCCAGACUCCUAGGGGAGGCAGGAAUGGGGGAUAUUGGACAAUGGGCGGAAGGCUGAUCCAGCAAGGCCGGGUGAGUGAUGAAGGCCUGAGAGUUGUAAAGCUCUUUUACCCGGGAUGAUAAUGACAGUACCGGGAGAAUAAGCUCCGGCUAACUCCGUG
rnacentral:rRNA from 1 species